AUGAUUUUCACUUCUGUAAUUAUAGGCAUCAAGAUUGAGAGAAGAAGCCCAUAACAUGGGAAGUGUUCACAUGUCAGAAAUUUGUACUGAAUUAAAAAAUUUAAGAUCUUUAGUCCGAGUAUGUGAAAUUCAAGCAACUUUGCGAGAGCAAAGGAUACUAUUUUUGAGACAACAAAUCAAGGAACUCGAAAAACUAAAAAAUCAGAAUUCCUUCAUGGUGUGAAGAUGUGAAUAAUUGCACAUGGUUUUGAGUACAGGAACUGUAAAUCUGUUUAGCCCAAUCUUAACAUUUUUGAGCUGCAUUUAAGUAGACUUUGGACCGUUAAGCUGGGCAAAGGAAAUGACAAGGGGAUGGGGUUUGUGAGUCUAUUCAGGGGAAAGAUACAAGAUUGAUUUGUAAAACCCUUGAAAUGUAGAUUUCUUGUAGAUGUAUUCUUCACGUUGUAAAUAUGUUUUGUAGAGUGAAGCCAUGGGAAGCCAUGUGUAACAGAGCUUAGACAUCCAAAACUAAUCAAUGCUGAGGUGGCUAAAUAACUAGCCUUUUACAUGUAAACCUGUCUGCAAAUAGCUUUUAUAAAAAAAAUUUGGGGGGGUUAAUUUAUCAUUCAGAAAUCUUGCAUUUUCAAAAAUUCAGUGCAAGCGCCAGGCGAUCUGUGUCUGAGGAUACUAUUUUGAACCAUAUGGGCAAUGUACAAAGUAUCAUGAAAUAACUGUUUCCACACUUGCACCUGAUCAAGAGCAGUGCUUCUCCAUUUGUUUUGCAGAGAAAUGUUUUUCAAUUCCUGUGUGUUCCAUUUCCCUCUGAAAUCCUUGAUCUGAUUUUAUCCAUUUUUUUUAAGGCUCCUCUUUCUUAAGGCACUGUUGCUAUGGCACUUUUCUAUAACCUUUUCAUUCCUGUGUACAGUAGCUUAAAAUUGCGGUGAUUGAGCAUAACCCACUUGUUUGUAUAAAUUAUUGAAAUCCAUUUGCACCCUGUUGUAAGAAUAGACUUAAAAAAAGUACUGCUGAGCAUGUGUGCUAAAAGUACAUUGAUUGCUCAAAUAUAAGAAAGUGGCCCAAUGAACAUGGUUGUGGGAGGGAAAGAGGAAACAAAGCUAGUCAGAUGUGAAUUGUAUCUGUUGUAAUAAACAUGUUAUAAAACACAAAAAUUGUUAUUUUUCUUUUCCUUUGGUCAGUGCAUAUUAGAAUUUGAACUACUGGGGAUUCUUCAUAAUAAAGAACUAUUCUUGUUGAAUAUUUAUACUUAAUUGAAAUAAUUCCUUAAAUGAGGUUUGUUUAAAGCAAAGUAACAGGAAAUUGUGUAUAAGAUAUUUAAUGAAAUAUGAAAUUCAACAAGAAUAAUUAAGUCACUUCCCAAGUGGUUGUCAUUUGUUAAACUCUGGUUUACCUGUCUUGCUGUUAUGACAUUUCAUUUUGAAGGAUGUUUGUGUUGUAGCUAACUGUUCAAGUCUGGUGCUGACUGCUGUUCUUAGCCAUCACAAAACGCUAAAUUUGUGUAAUUGGAGCUUCCUGCUGUUAUCUGGAAAUGGUGGGAAAGCUCAGCUUUGUAUAUUGUUUCCUAAAGUAUAUUAAAAUAAAAAAAGAAACUUAUUGCUACUAUAAAAUUACCUUGGCUUUUUUUUUCCUUUGCUAAAAUAUUGGUCAUAUGACCGUAGCAUGACAUUGCCAGUAUUAAAUCCACAAGGGUUUCUUUAUGCAGAAAAAUAUUUUAAUUUAAAAAUCUUUGACUUACCCAAUUUAAGAGACUUUUUUUCCCUGUUGAGGCAGAUCUAUUCAUGUGCUUUCAGAACUGCCAGCACCAAGGGCUUAUUUUGUGAUGGUAGACAUUAAUGUUACUACAUUCUGGAAUACUAAAAUUUUGAAACUGCUCUUAUGCUUUAAGCAUAUUUAAAGUAUAGAAGAUAAUAAUGUUCAGGUUUUCAAUAAAUUUUGAAAAGUAAACUGUCAGCAAUAGUAUGGGUAUUUACUAAAAUACAAAAAUGUUCCAGUGUAAUUAGGAGGAAUUAAAAUUUUAUACCGGAAGCUGAGUUUUUAAAAUUGUAACAUGAGAAUACUUUUAAAAUGUUAAGACAAAUGUCAUAAAAUAUCAAUGAAAUGUUCGUUAUCUGUGAGAUUGUUAACAUUUGCUGGACUUGAUGAGUGCAUGUAAACAAACUCGGAAAAACUGUUAAGCUAAGGACCCUUCCUGAUGCAGUCCUGUGUCUUGUCUGGAAAGAAGUGAGCAAUUUGUGAUGUAGGAGGCAGAUGUUUCCUGGUCAGAUGGCAACUUGUGAUUUAAGGUAAAUUUGAAUUGAUUUGCUAAUAGAUCAUUGAUCUGUGUCACCUUAUUCCUUUGCUUUAAAAAACGUUCACACCCCUGAAUGAAUUGCUCACAUACAUAUAGAAGAUGCCUAAUUUGAAAUGCGGAUUUUUAAACAUAAAAUUAAAAUUUUUUGUGGAAAUAUUUUUACAAUAUUUGAUUCACUUACUAUCCUGUAGUAAAUGAUCUUAAACAUUGCACUUUAAUACAGACAUGGUAUCCAGCUACUAACGUUCUUGAGGUAACCUGGGUAUGUUCAUUAAAACAGGCAUAGUAUCUAAGAAAAUACUCUUUUAUCUAGUUGGCCAGUUGCCAUGGCUUUGAACAUGUUAUCUAAUUUUGAUGGGGACCUUGGUUCAGAUCAUUUGAAAGUAGAUUAUAUGAAGAGCCCCUAGGAAACCUCAGGUUUUUUAAUUUUUUUCCUUUUUUGAAAAGGACAUUAGUAGUCUUAGAUUCAAACCUUAAAAACUGAUACUGAAAAAAAAUGUAUUUUGUGAAGGUGGGUCUGUUAGAAAGUCUUUCCUCUGAAGAACCAGCUUCCCAACCUUUUUUCCCUUUUUUUUCUGCUUAGUGUGACUAACUCUUAAUUUUUAAACUUUAUAAUUCCAUAUUUUAAGCAGCACCAAAAAUUCCAAGCUUCAGCCCUUUAUAAAACAUUGUUUCUUUUAGGUCCAGAUGAAUGGUUUUAUCUUCUGAAUUUUAUAUGUGUGACACCUGUAAAUCUUGGAAAAGAGGUGCUUAUAAAACUUUGCAAAGAAUGAAUUGUGUUACCCAUUUCAAAAACAAUCUUGUUCUGUUUAAACGCAAGCUUAGCUUCAAGGGAUUUGUUUCAAAGGGGAGGGGGCAGGGCAGAAAUCAAACCAGAACUACUGUAGUUCAGGACUUAAGUUUCUGUACUUAGAUGUGGGGUUUGAAUAUACAGAUUUCUUUUCAAUACCUGUAAAUAAUGGCUAUAUUCUUGUAUUUGUACUGGAGUGUACAAAAUGACACUAAAAAGUAAUAAAUAUGUUUUGACUAUA